UAGGUUUGAAUUAUUAAAGGUAGUUUCUGCCCUAUGAUUAUUUAAAUGGCUGCAGUAUAUUGACUGUGCAAAGGUAGCAUAAUAAUUAGUCUUUUAAUUGAAGGCUUGUAUGAAUGAAUUAAUGAGAAGUUUGUUUUAUUAUUUUUAUAAUUUGAAUUUAAUUUUUAAGUAAGAAAGCUUAAUUUUACUUUUGGGACGAGAAGACCCUAUAGAAUUUUAAUAUUUUUAAAUUAAUUAUUUUUUAGUAAAUUUUAUUCUUUUUUAUAUUAAGAAUAUUUUUGUUGGGGUGUUAAAUAAAUUUGACUUUAUUUUUUUUGUUCAUUAAUUUAUGUAUUAUUUGAUCCUUUUUAUGAUUAUAAGAUAAAAUUACCUUAGGGAUAACAGCGUAAUUUUUAUGGGGAGUUCAUAUUUAUAUAAAAGUUUGCGACCUCGAUGUUGAAUUAAGAUUAGGUUGUGGAGCAG
rnacentral:rRNA from 1 species